rnacentral:misc_RNA from 1 species
UCUGCGGAAGAAAGUAAUAUAUAUUAAUAUAAGAAAAAGGAAAUACUAAUAGAAGAAAAAGGAAAACAGAGAUAAACAAACUGUAGAAAAAAGCAUUGCAGUAACGGUCCGUCUGAACGACUGAAGCAAGAACGUUGCCCGAGCUCUUUCUAAGUUUCAUCCCCUCCACCACAUUUCUUCGAGAAUGCAUAUGGAAUUAUUCAACCAACACUAGCGGGGGAUCAAAAAUGCAAGCGCCGAUAUACGACAGCUAUCUCUGUAAGAAAAUUACCUGAGGCCUAGUCUCUUCGACACGAAGAAUUGGCCGGUACGCCACGAUCAUGCGACAACCAAUGGGAAGCACAUACACGCAGCCAAUCCCGGAGGAUCGCUGGCGGUGCUGAGGGGGGGGAAGCGAAUGUAUGGAGGAAAAGGAGAUCAGAUUAGCGGGAGCUAAGCUGUCAAUGGCAAUCAUUUUGAGAGAGCAUACAGUCUCUAUACGCAUUAAUCAAGGAGUCGAAGUAUAUCCAUAUUUUUACAAAUAAUGUCUAAUAGAUUUUUUUACAUAUUAGAAGCGGGAUAAACACAUGCCGUAUUCGGAAAUCUCGAGGUAACAAGAUACAACGUUGGCAUGGACUGCCAUAAGUCACGUCGUGACUCGAGUAUCGAAUCGAGAGCUAAGAGGUAUUGUUUAUAGAAGAAGGUUCACCUUCUUCGUCGCGAUCAGGCGAUGGAAGGAAAAACGAGCAUGUUGUAAAGAACUUAGAUCGGCGGGCGCGUAGUCCGUGCAUUCAUCAAAAUGAAUUAAUGAUUCCCCCCUUCGAUCCGGCGAGAGAUGAUCUAACGACCGAAAAGUGGAUACAGCACGUGGAAGGAUUGGUACAGUAGUAUGAAUGGAAUGAUCGCACCAUUAUGAGACUUAUACUAACCCGUUUAAAAGGUCAUGCUAAAUUAUGGUACAAUACGAGACCGGAAGUUGUUAUCACAUGGAUAGCGACAAAAGAGGAGAUAAUGCAACAAUUCCGUAAGUCCGUACCAUUCAAUAAGUUGUUGAAGGAUGCCGCAUUAUAUGAGACUUCUCGUGGUCAAGCUUUGGGUUAUUGUUGUUUCAAUAAAUUAAAUAAGUUGCGCAAGUUGGAUUUAGUUAUACCCGACAUUUUAGUUAUACCCGAGUAUUUGAUCGAUGCGGUUAUCGGCGGUAUAACAGUCGCGAGUGUAGCAAGGGCAGUACGUUCUGCACAAUUGGAUAAUGCGAGUGGAUUACACGUGUAUAUGACGUCGCUGGACACAUCGUCGUCAGGAAGCGAGCGAAAGAAAGAAACGCGUAGGGAUGAUCGGAGAGAAAGAUCAUCGAAAAUCUGGAAGCAUGCUCGGGACGUGGAUGAAAAUGUGACACCGGUUGACCAGCUCGUUGGCGGCGGUAACGGUAAGCUACUAUUGUAAUAACCCAAUGCUAAAUCUAAUCCCGUAACGUAUCCACCAAGUUUAUCGAGUUGAUCUUAAUGCUUUAAUUGCGGAAAAGUAGGCCAUUUUGCAGAAAAUAUCGUAAGCCACGUGCGGUAUGUGAGAAUUAUAAAUGGAAAGGUGAUACAACUGCCAUGUGUCCGCGUAAGAAAAAUAUAAACACUGUUAAAGCCACGGAUACCGCGCGGAACUCGUAUGAUGUUGGUUAAUGGUCACCGACUUAAAAGAUUGAUCUACAUAGGAAGCAGCCGCACACUAAUGCGAAAUUCAGUUGUCGAAAUGUAUAAGUGGGCCGUUCAAUUAAUAUUAAAUGUAUUAAGGGGAUUCGUAGGACAGGCAACAACCAGCGAUAAAUCGACGCGGUGUAAUAUCCGAAUAAUGGAGGCAACAGCGUGGACACUAUUGUGGUCCCAAACGAUCAUCUCAUUUACGACCUGAUUGUGGAACUAGUGGAUGUUAGUUAAGCGCGGACAAGAGUCAAUGCUUCAACAGUUGCCUUUCGCGGAAAAACAGCUCGAGCGUAUGAGUGACGUGAAUUUUCUAGACGCAUCAACUGAGUGUCCAAUGCACAUCGGCGCUGUUAACGAGGAGACACAACGGAAAGAUUUAAUUCGCGAAUACAAUGAUUGCAUUUCGACUAGUGUUACAAAUCUGGGAAAAACGGACGCUCAUGCGAUGAACAUACAUUGUACAACGGACGAACCGAUAGUUUACAGGCCAUAUAGAAUGUUCUCCAAGUCGGAGAAACGAGCACUGCGAAGUAUUAUUAGCGAGUUAUGAGAAAAUAAUAUUAUCCGGCACUUGACAUCGCCAUAUGCGAAUCCUGUUAUACUCGUUAAAAAGAGUAAUGGCGAGCAUCGAUUUUUAUAAAUUGAAUGCGAUUACUAUUAAGGACAAAUAUCCACUCCUGUUGGUAGAUCGAUAAACUCGGUGAUUACUUUACGGGAUUAGAUUUGGCAUUGGGUUAUUAUCAGAUGCCGAUAGAAUCCGGUUUCAUCGAAAAGACAGUUUUCGUGAUCCCCAAGGUUCACUUCGAGUUCUUGCGUAUACUGUUUGGACUGACAAAUGCGCUGGCUAUUCGAACAUUUGACUAGGUAUUAGGUACGUUAAAAGAUACCAUCAUAUUUCCUACUUAGAUGAUGUUAUAAUCCCCUCCACAACCGUCGAAGAGGAUAUGAGCCAUUUGUGCUAAGUAUUAGAGGCGUUUCGCAAACACUACUUAACCCUUAAACUAGAGAAAUGUUCGUUCUUCGCCGAGUCCAUUAAUUAUUUGGGUCGGGAGAUUAACGAACGGGGGAUGCGACCCGGACAGCGGAAAAUUGAAGCCAUACAGAACAUAGAGAUGUCAUGGAUUUUAUUUGUUCCAAAUUUCGCGGCUAUAAUCAAACUGACGAGGCUUACGAAAAAAAAUGAACCAUGAGUGUGGGGCGAGACGCAGGAUAGAGCGUUCAUUACUAUUAAACAGAAGCUAGUGGAUCGGCCUGUACUGAUGAUCUUCAAUCCAAAUCAUCCGACAGAACUAUAUACGAACGCAAGCGCAACCGGCGUAGGUGCUGUUUUCCUAGUGGAUAGUAAAAUGAGUGUAGUAGCGUACUUUAGUAAACAUAUGACGGCGGACCAACGCUGUUAUUACUCUUACGAAUUGGAGACAAUGGCUGUGGUAAUGACCUUGCGUUGACCUUGUGACUCUUAAGAGAUUCUGCGCUCUGCAAAAAUAUGCAAUAUUGAAUAUAUGCAAUAUUGUUGCCAGAAUGAAAUUUCCGACCAAUGUUCACGUGCUAGGUGUUAUGUCCAGUGAGGGUGAUGUAAUGCCACCACAUUUCUUUAAAAAGAGGGAAACUCUUCUAUCACAAAAGAAAUGUAGUUGCGCGUUCUGAUGGAUGCAGUAAAGCCGUGGAUGGAAACUGUGGUUCGAAAGACCAUAUGUUUUUUAGCAGGAUGGUGCACCGGCUCAUACGAGUCAUUUGAUUUAAAAUUGGCUCUCAGACAACAUCGAUAUGUUUUGGUCCAAAGACUUCUGGCCUGCUGACAGCCCAGAUUUAAAUCCCUUGGACUAUUACAUAUGGAGUGUAGUUGAAAGGGUCACAAACAGGUCUCGGCAUCCCAAUAUGACGUCAUUAAGGACCGCUGAAGCAGCAUUCGGCAUGGACAGCGCUACAUUACAGCGUGCGUGCAAACGCAUCAGAAUAGUCGUCAUUCAAGCUAAUGGGGAAUAUAUCGAAUAAUUGGAGUCCUCUACAGGGAUCCCCCAAGUGCCAUGUAAAAGGAUUUUUUGUAAUAUUUAAUUUUUCAUUAAAAACACUUUGUUUAAAAAAAUUGUUCGAUUUGUCCGGACUUUGAUGAGCGAUUUGUGACUCUUUCAAUUACGCUUCAUAUGUAGCAGUUUAAGGAAUUUAAAUCUGGACUUGUUGGGAGGCCAGAAUUCUUUGGACCAAAACAUAUCGACAUUGUCUGAGAUCCAAUUUUGAAUCAAAUGAUUUGUAUGAGCUGAUGCACGAUCCUAUUAAAAAACAUAUGACCUUCCGGAUGCCACAAUUUCCAUCCAUGGCUUCAUCCAUCAGAAUGCACAACAAUUGCCCUCAUCCAAAAUCAGCGCUUGAGCCCUUUCAAUGACUGCUGGGAUCCUCGCGGUGCGUUCUUUCUCGCGAGUAACUCUUCCUCGCUGGAACCUUCGUUUGAACUGUUCUAAAGCCGUAUAUUUUGCCACAAUAUCAUAAACGGUUAAUCUCCAAUAUCCAAAUUAUUUUCGUUGCUAAGCGCCCAGCGCGAAGGCCUUCGAUGAUCGCAUCUCUUCGACUAUACUCUGCACUUGGUAUCAACAUCGCGACUAUUUUGAGAAUAUGACUGUUUAUUAGAAGCAUCAUGCUUUCUCGGACGCCAACAACAACUUCUGGUGAAGACACAAUAUAGUAGCGAAAAAUUUAAAUUGAAAUUUGUCCGGAUUUUAGUGACGCUCCCUGUAAAUCGCAAAUGUUUAAAGAAAUAUAAUAUUUAUUUUUAUCUAAGGGAUCAGUUGAUCAACAAUGUUGAUCUUUUAUAUCUUUAAAAAGAUAUCAUAACGUUUUUAACAUUGAAGAUGCAUACAUCAAAUUCUUUGCAAUUAGGAUAACUUAGAUAUCGGUGGUGUACGUCUGAAUGGAAAUAUAUUAUUUGUUAUAUUACCCUAAAAAACUAAAACUAUAUUUGUAAAUAUACGGAAAAUUCCAUGGAAUACACUAUCUAAACUCAUUUUUGAAAAGAGAAUGGGAAAACAGACUUUAUUGUUGCUGACGCUGAUUGCUUAGAUAUAAAAUAAGAUUUGAUAUCUUCAAAGUGCAUUUUUAUAUAUGUAUCAUUGCAUAGUGUAAUGUAGGUUUCAUGGCAAUUAUACUUAAUUAACUCGCAUAAUUGUAAGAAUAAAUAAAAUUAAACAUUGAAUACACAGUC